AGGGCGAGCCCCUGUUCUGGGGUCUGGGGGGAGGAGGGCGAGCCCCUGCCCUGGGGUCUAAUGGGGAAGACAGCUGUCUUGGAGGGUGGGGGGAAACCAUGCACAAGGUACGGCCUCCCCCACACACUCAGCUGCCCUGAGAGAACUAGGCCUCCAGUGCUGAGCUAUCUCCCCAUCUCCCCUGUGGGCUCUGCCGGCCCCUGCCAGGUCCCGCCCAGGCUGCUCUGGCGCCGGCCUGGGAAUUCAAUCUGGCUGGAAAGCAAAGGUUGUUUGUUUUCCCUGGUUGCCUUCUCAGCUACCCCGAAACCAUCCCUGGAUCACUUUCCAGGGCAGCCGGGUGUGAUCGGGGCCCUUGGAUGACCUGUGCUGGCCUUGGUCUAACUGGGCCAGCUGUCAUAUGACCCUGCAAAAUCCCAACCCUCUGUGCCCUGCUGGGCCCGGCCCCUCACAGCAUCCGGGAGGGCCCAGGGCCACAUCAAUCCGAACAGCCCCAGGCACCCUGACUGGCUUGGCUCCGGGGAUGGAGCUUCGGCCUGCGGACUGAAGGGUCCUGGAUUUGAUUCGGUCAAGGGCACAUGCCCAGGUUGCGGGCUCGGUCCCCAGUAGGGGGCGUGCAGGAGGCAGCCGAUCAAUGAUUGUCAUCAUUGAUGUUUCUGUCUCUCCCUCUCUGAAAUCAAUAAAAAUAUACCUUAAAAAUAAAAUAAAAAAUGUCAAACAGCCCCAGGCUGAGCUGACAUCAUCUUGGGCUACCAAGGGAACGAAGCCUUACCUAUUCCUGCCUUUUGCUCGCUCCUGGGCGCUGAGAGCCAGGCAUCACCGGAACCCGGGUACCCAGAGGGAUGAGGGACCUUUUGGAGAGACACGUCCCAGCUCCACUGCUUGCCAGCUGGUGGCCCUGAGCAGUAACUUGACCUCUACACUCCCAGAACAUUUCAUCACCCCAAAAGGAGGCCCAGCAGCCACUCCCAGCUCCUGGCAGCCCCUGGCCUGCUUUCCGUCUCUGGAUUUGCCUGUUUAGGACAUUUCAUAGAGAUGGAAUCACAAUAUGUGGCCCUUCAUGUCUGGCUGCUCUUACUCAGUGUGCUGUGUCCAGGGUUCAACCGUGUUGCAGCGGGCGUUAGUGCUUCAUUCCUUUUGAUGGCUGAGCGAUAGUCCACUGUGCAGAUGGACCACGUUUUGUUCAUCCAUUCAUCAGUUUGUGGACCUUUGGUGAUUGUCACUAGUACUGCUGUGAACAUGCAUGUGCAAGGACUUGUUUGAACACCUGUUUUCAAUCCUUUUCGGCCUCCUUACAUGUUGUACUCCCACCCUAGUCCUGGCUAUGAGGCGAGGGGCCCAGCUUCUAGCUCCCCUGACCAGUCCCGGAGUGAGGCCCUCUGCACCGGCAGCCAGCCGGUCCUUCUUGUUCUCUCUCCUGCAUCCUGAGUCCCCAAGGCCUGCCCCAUUCCAGGGAGUUUUAGAAACUGGAGUCCCCGGUAUCCUUAGGAACCUGUGCUGUCCUGGAUCCCGCUGUGAUGGGGUUCCAGCCAUUGCUGCUGGGUGGCCUCACUUCUCGGGCCUCAGUUUCCCCAUCUGUGAGUAGGGUUGUCCUGAAGAUGAACUGAGGACAGGAAAGCACCUGGCCCAUAACAUUUAUUCUCAUCUUAUCCUCUUUGUUGAUAUCCAUCAUGCUCCCCAAGAGCCCACGCUCACUGGGCAUGCUCACGUACAUGGUCUCCUGACCCCACGCCAGGUGCGGAGGAAGUCUGUGCAGCUUCCCAGGGACCCAGGGAGGAGAGGCCAAGGCUGGUGGGACACCCAGGUCUGUGAUCAGCUGGGUCCCUACCCAGGGUCAGGCUUGGGGUCCAGCCAUCCUGCUGGGUGCUGCCCCUUCUCUGCCCAUUGGGAAGAGUCCUAAGGGGGUUUCCUUUGCUGUGGCUGAGCCUCCUCUGCUCCUUGGGCCCGGGAGUCCUCACGUGGCUCAGGAAGGGACAGGCUGGAAAAUUCCUGGGACAUCUGCACAUUGGGGUAGGGGUGGGGGGUCAGACCACCCCCACUCCUGGUGAAAUUUGUAUGUUUGAAGGUUUGUGGGAGACAGUUCCCAGGGCAAACCCCGUCUCCCAUUCCUGCCCUCCCCACCCUCACUCCUGCCACCCCACUCCUUACCCCAAGCCCGGGCUUGGCCACAGCACAUUCAGGUGUGGCUCAAGUGACGUGGAGAUAGUGCGGGCCAGAGUUUAUUUGCAGGAUGGGAGCGGGGCCAGGGCCUCUGGAGACUCCUGGGACUGAGUUAUCCACUCCAAGCCCUGCCAGUUCCACGAGCCCCAGAACCUGGCCAUCAACCCAUCUUUCUCAGCCACCAGGUGCCCCAACUGACAGCAGCACCGGCUGCCAUACAUUGACAACCUACUGUGCACAGGCCCCCGGAAUGGCUUCCACGGAGUCUCAUGGGAGCCCUAGGCAGAGGGAUCGAUUCUGUCCCCAUGUUACAGACAAGGAAACUGAGACACGGAGUGGUGAAGCCCUCACCACGGACCCACAGCCAGGAGUCUGGGUGCAGCCCUGCAGGGCUGCUGUGGCCCUGGGCUUCUCUGAGCUCUGCACACGCAGGUUUCAAAUGCUCACAGACUGGAAGGAGUCGCAGAGACUUGCACUGUCAGCAGCAUGGGGGUUACAGGACCUGGCUCUGAUGCUCAGUACUGGCCGGGGGACCCGUGUCUCCCCUGCAGCAAGUUGUGGCCAUGUCCUGAUCAGUGUGAAAUAAGCAGAAAGGUCCCAAGGCCUCCCAGGAAGACUUUGGAAAGAUGCUGAGCCAGCCCUGGCCUCUGCCUUUCUCUCUGAAUGAGGAUGUGAAGGCUGGAGCCCUGGCAGCCAUUUUGUGCCAUGAGGCAACUUUGAGGGCAAAAGCCAGAGAUGCUACGAACUGAAAGAGAAACCACGCUGUACUGCUACUGUGACCGAUCUCUGCAGACUGCUCUUUCUGCUGCCUGACACCAGCUCUCUGUCCCUGACCCCUGAGCUCACACCAGUGUGGAAUCUUUCCCCAACCCCCCUGGCCUGUGUCCCAGCAUGCUGCGCAUCUCAUGGGUGACCCCUUCCCAGUGCCCCCCACUGACCAACAGUGUCCGGUGCAUGCAGGAUGCAGACAGGCUGCUCUCCCGGACACCCCCCACAGAUGCAGGCAUGGAGGCAGUGGCUGAGGGUCUGAGGGGGUCCCCAGGUUCUGGGCAGAAUGAGUAGGGGAUUUGGUGGUGGGUACCCUGCUGGGGCGGAGCCCUGGGGCUGGCCUUGGAGACUUCAGCGGAGCGGGCAGGGUCAUCUUCGAAGUGCGGUGGGGACAGCUCACGGAGACCCCGGCGGGUGGCCUGGGCAGCCCGGAGCAGCGCGUGGGUCAGCACGGCCACCAGGGCCACGGCGCCCAAGCCGAGGAUGGAGGCGGCUGCUGCUCCCGCCUCGAUCUCGAAUAGCAGCAGAGCAUAGAUGGAUAGUCCUGAGGAAGGAAAUGUUUCUCAUUUACUCAGUCUACAAACAUGUGCUCCCCAAGCCCCGGGAGAGCUUCCCACAGAGGGGCAGUCAUUCAAAACCGUCCAACACGGUAGGCACGUGGAUCAACUGGUCGAUCCUCUCACAGCCCACAAAUAUAUCAUCACGACGUCAAUUUUACUAUAAAAGGGUGAAUUUCGUUAUGUGCACUUCACCACAAUUAAAACAACCCAGAUCUCGGGUUUUCUGAA